UACGUAGGCAGCGAGCGUUGUUCGGAGUUACUGGGCGUAAAGCGUGCGUAGGCGGUUGUCUAAGUUUGGUGUGAAAUCUCCUGGCUUAACUGGGAGGGUGCGCCGAAAACUGGGUGACUGGAGUGUCGGAGAGGUAAGCGGAAUUCCUGGUGUAGCGGCGAAAUGCGUAGAGAUCGGGAGGAACACCGGUGGCGAAGGCGGGUCUCUGGGCAUCUCCUGACGCUGAGGCGCGAAAGCGUGGGGAGCAAACAGG
rnacentral:rRNA from 1 species